GUUUUCAGUGCAUUAUUUAUGUUUGAUUUCAUUGCAUUAUUUAUAUUUGCCAUUGUUUCAUUUCAAAGAAAUUGAAUUAUCCUUUCUAAAAUAGGGGCAAAUUCUGUUAAAAAAAGGGAAGGAAGAAAUAAAUGGUUAAUUAAUUGGUGGAAAGUACUUUGCAUCAACUGAGUUGGAAAUAAUCAACAUGGGUUAUGCAACUGAUCUUUUUGUCUCAUAUUUAUGACUUCUGCAAUAACUGUUCCUGGCCUUAUGGGAUUAUUAUUUUUGCUUCUUGAUUAUAUAUUCUACUUGUUGCUGUGAUUGUCAAUGUGUAUCAGUGAAGUUUUUGCAAUCAAAUUUCUAAAUUACUUGACAUGUUCCACUCGUAUCUGAUGUCAGCUCUAGGUUGUGUCAUGAUUGUGUCAGUGUUUUACCAUAACAUGAUGCAGGUUGUUGGAGGUUCUAAAUAAGAAGCUGGACUCUGUUAAUAUGUGUGUGUGUGUGUGUG
rnacentral:misc_RNA from 1 species